rnacentral:rRNA from 8 species
GUUCGCCGCCCGUGACUCGGCGAGAAGUCCAUUGAACCUUAUCAUUUAGAGGAAGGAGAAGUCGUAACAAGGUUUCCGUAGGUGAACCUGCGGAAGGAUCAUUG